rnacentral:lncRNA from 1 species
UUUGUUAAUAAAUAACAACUGAACCUUCAGGGGAAAAAUGUUAUAUAUAUAUCAGACAUUAUCUACAUUUACUUAAAACACUAAGUGUUUAAUCAUUCCCUAGGAAUUGCUUUGAAGAAAAACUUGAGGUGAAAUCCCUAAGGGCUCUGCCAUGUACUCCAGCCUUGUGACCCUUGCCUUCCAGGAACCAUGCAAGAAGUGCAGCCACCGGAAGUCCUUAAAACAGCAGGAAAGGAAUUUCCAGUAUUCCAAAUAUGAGAAGCUGAGAAAACAAACAACAAACUCAAAACCCUAAAAACCAGGAUACGUAAGGGUAGAUGUUUGUUGGGUGUGGAUUAAAAAUGGACUUUUUUUGCCCCAAGCAACAAAGAGGCACCUUAGAAAAUAGACAAGAGACAAGAAGAAGAGAAGCUUUAAGAGAUAUUUGGUCCAAGGAAGAGACUCUUCAGAUGGAAGGUCACGUCAGCUAGAAACAUUAAUAUGACUGGAUGGGCUCAAACCACUGACUUUUCAGUCAACAUCCGACAGCACUAACCUAGUGUUCCAGAGACACUGCUUGUUAAACAGUGAAAGCUGUUGCUCAAUUGUGUCAUCCGUAAUUGUCAAAUAUUGCCAUUUAGUAGCACAAGGAAGUAUUCUCCGUUGCCAAGCUAGAGCACCCAUAACUCUUCUGUUUUGUUGAACAUUCUUCCCCACCACAAACCCUCUUUAGAAGACUGGGGGC